AAGUCGUAACAAGGUUUCCGUAGGUGAACCUGCGGAAGGAUCAUUAACAAUUGAAUAUGAAAAUAUUGAGAAUUGGCUGGGUGAUGGUAAAUAGAACAUGAUUUAGAUUUACCUGAUCUCAGCGAUAAACACGUUGCUUGGAAUAGGAUAGGAUGCUUUUGUGUCCUAUCUAAUAAUACAUACAUAAUCUAUACAACUUUUAACAAUGGAUCUCUUGGCUCUC
rnacentral:misc_RNA from 1 species